rnacentral:rRNA from 1 species
GCGUGAGUGACGAAGGUCUUCGGAUUGUAAAGCUCUUUUACCAGGGACGAUAAUGACGGUACCUGGAGAAUAAGCCCCGGCUAACUUCGUGCCAGCAGCCGCGGUAAUACGAAGGGGGCUAGCGUUGUUCGGAAUUACUGGGCGUAAAGCGCACGUAGGCGGACCUAUAAGUCAGGGGUGAAAUCCCGGGGCUCAACCUCGGAACUGCCUCUGAUACUGUGGGUCUCGAGACCGGAAGAGGUGAGUGGAAUUCCUAGUGUAGAGGUGAAAUUCGU